AGUAGGACUAGCAUAAUGAGGGGGGUAGCAACAGUGGUGAGUUCGUUGGAUGGCUUAAGCCCUGAGUACAGGGUAGUCGUCAGUGGUUCGACGCCUUAGUAUAAAGGUCUCGAGAUGCCACGUGGACGAGGGCACGCCCAAAGCACAUCUUAACCUGAGCGGGGGUCGCUCAGGCGAAAGCAGUUUAACCAACUGUUACGAAUACAGCCUGAUAGGGUGCUGCAGAGGCCCACUGUACUGCUACUAAAAAUCUCUGCUGUACAUGGCACAUGGAGUU
rnacentral:other from 15 species